AUUGAACGCUGGCGGCAGGCCUAACACAUGCAAGUCGAGCGGAGCGGCGGACGGGUGAGUAAUGCCUAGUAAUCUGCCUGUUAGUGAGGGAUAACGUACGGAAGCGGGCGCUAAUACAGCAUACUAUCAGAUGAGCCUAGGUCGGCUUAGCUAGUUGGUGGUGUAAAGGACUACCUAGGCGACGAUACCUAUCUGGUCUGAGAGGAUGAUCAGUCACACUGGAAAUGAGACACGGCCCAGACUCCUACGGGAGGCAGCAGUAGGGAAUAUUGGACAAUGGGCGAAAGACUGAUCCAGCCAUGCCGCGUGUGUGAAGAAGGUCCUCGGAGUGUAAAGCACUUUAAGUUGGGAGGCGUUACCAACAGAAUAAGCACCGGCUAACUUCGUGCCAGCAGCCGCGGUAAUUC
rnacentral:rRNA from 1 species